GGCCACGUAGCUCAGUUGGCAGAGCAUUGGGCUAGUAUUCCAAAGGUCGUAGGUUUGAUUCCCACCGUGGCCA